AGACAGACAGACAGACAGACAGACAGGCGGGCACGCACCCGCCGCCAGGCACCGCCCGCUCCCCAUGCGCGGCCCGCCGCGGGGGGCGCUUCCCCGGUGAGGGCGGAUUCCCGCUGCCCGCCCCCUGCCCCUUCCCCGGCGCUCCGGACCGCCGCCUGGCCCCUAAGAUGGCGAGUGGGAUGAACGGCCCGGGCGGCGGCGGCGGCGGCGCGGCGGCCGGGGGCGGCGAGGAGGAGCCGGGCGCCCGCCACACGGGAGGCGGAGCCGCGCCUCAGCAGGAGCCCGGCGUGCCCGGCGCGGCGGCGGCGGCGGCGGCGGGCGAGGGGGAGCCGUCGGCGGGCGAGGGCGGCCGCUGCCCGUCCCCUCAGCCCCACCACCUGCUGCUGCUGCUGCGGCGCUCGCCCAGCGCCUCGCUCUGCCCGGCGCCGGAGGCCGCCCCCGCGGCGGGCCGAGCCGUCCCCGCGGCGGGCCGCGGCGGGCAGCCCCCCCCUCCGCCGCUCCCCGCCGCCGGCCGCGGCGGCGGCGGCGUCGUCCCCCCGCCCGCCGCCGGCGAGGACGUGAGGAAGUGCGGCUACCUGCGGAAGCAGAAGCACGGGCACAAGCGCUACUUCGUCCUGCGGGCCGAGAGCCACCUGGCCCCCGCCCGGCUGGAGUACUACGACAGCGAGAAGAAGUUCAAGAGCAGCUUGCGGGCGGCGGGGGCCGGCGGGGCGGCCUCCCUCUGCUGCCCCCCGCCCAAGCGGGUCAUCCCCCUCUACCAGUGCUUCACCGUCAGCCGGCGGGCCGACGCCAAGCACAAGCACAUCAUCGCCCUGUACACCAAGGACGAGUACUUCGCCAUGCUGGCCGAGAACGAGGCCGAGCAGGAGGCCUGGUACCAGGCGAUCAGCGAGCUCAUGAGCCAGAGCAAGAGGGGCUUCCUGGAGCAGGAGGACCACGCCGAUCAGCAGGUGGACGAGGAUGACGAGCACUACGGGGCCGCCCUGCGGCCCGGCACCGUCUUCAAGGAGGUGUGGCAGGUCAACGUUAAGCCCAAAGGGUUGGGGCAGACCAAAAACCUUACGGGAGUGUAUAGGUUGUGCCUCUCCAGCAAGGCCAUCCACCUCGUCAAGCUGAACUCGGAGGUGCCCUCCGUCCACUUGCAGCUAAUGAACAUUCGCCGCUGCGGGCACUCGGAGAACUUCUUCUUCAUCGAAGUGGGCAGGUCUGCCUCUAUCGGGCCUGGAGAGCUCUGGAUGCAAGUGGACGAUUCGGUGGUUGCCCAGAAUAUGCACGAGACUUUUCUGGAGACCAUGAAAGCUCUAAAGGCCUUUGCAGAGUUCAGGCCCCGCAGCAAGAGCCAGUCUUCUGGUGGUGGUAGCGGUACCAAUCCUAUCUCCUUCAUCACCACUAGGAGGCACCUGGGCAACCUGCCCCCCAGCCAGACCGGCUUGCAGAGACGAUCUAGAACCGAGAGCGUUGCCGGAGGGACUCCUCCGACCACCAAAAGCAGCAACUCCUAUCGCUUCAGAACCUCCAGCGAAGGAGAAGGAACCAUGACUAGACCUUUUAGGUCGGUGACCGGGAGCCUCAUCCACCUGAAUACUGCAAGGAUGAAUUUGGGCCGGCAAGAAGGGAGCGGAAGGUAUGUGAGAGCCGCUUUCAGCUCUUCCUAUCACACCAGGUCUGCUUCGCUGCCUGUUUCUCAUUUUCCCUCCACUACAAGUCCCAUCAGUGUUUCUUCCAGUAGCGGCCAUGGCUCUGCUUCGGACAUGUUGACCAGGCCUUCUAGCUCAUCCGUUUGUGGUUCCCCAAGCGACGGGGGAUUUAUCUCUUCUGAUGAAUAUGGCUCCAGCCCUGGAGAUUUCAGGUACUUUCGGGUCAGGAGUAAUACGCCCGAUUCCCUGGGAAACACGCCGCCUAUCAGAGAGGAGAACUGUCUGAGUGAGUACAUGUCCAUGAGUAAGCAACAGGCAGAUGAUAGUUCAAGAGAUGAUUAUAUGGAGGCUGAAAAGUGUUUCAGGAAAAGAACUUACUCUCUAACGAAACCAACUUCUGUAGCAGUGCAGCAGAAGACGACACAAACUACAGCUUCGUUAGAUGAAGAUUCCACAGGAAAUCAUGGACGAUUACUUUACUCUGAAACACCAAAAUUGAGAGAUAACCAUGAAUCGGAGUACAGUGACACUAACCUUGAUUCCAUGUGUAACCAAAGCAGGAGUAAAGCCAGGGAUGAUGGGUACAUGCCAAUGAUGCCAGGAGUUGCGUCUUCUCUCUCCGGCAACAGCGAUUAUCUGCCAAUGACUCCUAAAAGUAUGUCUGUUCCGAAACAGAUUAACAAUUCAUGGUCACCGUCUCAGGUUGACUCCAGAGGAUAUAUGAUGAUGUUUCCAAAGGCUAGCUCUUCACCUGUACGAAGUCCUUUAACUGGAUUUAUUUCUAAAGGAGGUAACGAGAAGAUCAUAAACAAUGAGUAUAUGGAUAUGUCACCUGGUAAUUCAGCUCCAAAGCACCCCGGCGAUUCGAAUUACAUUCACACCGCUUCUGUUUCCAAAGGUUUUAGUUCGUAUUUUUCUUUGCCCCGAAGCUUCAAGGCGUUAUCAGGACAGAAUGGUGACCACAGUGAAUAUGUUCCAAUGUCUUCACCUGGAAAACUCUUGUACGGUGGACCAGAAAAUGUAAAAGGGGUCAACAGUGAGGCUCUGGCUAAUGGCAUCUCUAAAUUGCCAGCGGUGAAAGGUUCAGAUGAAGGACUUGUGCAGAACAGGGCUGCUAGGCCCACAAGACUACCCCUAGGUACAAGAGGGAGUAAUACUAUCCCAAGAAUGUAUGAUCGCACGGUUCCGCCUGAGCCAGCGAGUCCCGGUGAAUACAUAAAUAUUGAUUUCAAUGAAAAAGCGAGUAAUACACCGUAUUCCUUAUCUGCAGAAGGAUCACCAUCAUCUCUAGGCUCAAGUAGUGACCACAGACAGUCCCCGCUUUCUGAUUACAUGAGUGUUGACUUGGAUGUACAGUCACCGAAAGUAGCGAAGGAACUGUCUAACUCCCUAACAGAUAUUUCAAUUUAUGCAAGCUCCAGUAUUCCUAGAAACCAACCAAAUCCUGACUACGCUAGGCUUUCAUUUGGUACAGCUUGUGUUAGCACUGCAAGUAACAGGACUGAUGACUACACGGAGAUGACAUUCAACAUGGCAGCAACACCGCCUCGGCCAUUUGCUGCCGAAUCCGACGAUGGUGUAAAGAUUGAUAGCCCUUCUUCCAUAGUUAACAGACUGUGCAUUGUUGAUCGAUACGCUAGUAGCAGUAGCUUCUCUGUUCCUAGCUCUGAACCUCCUAUGGGACCGAAAGUGAUUCGAGCCGAUCCUCAAGGCAGGAGGAGACACAGUUCUGAAACGUUCUCUUCAGCUGGGACCGUGACGACCUCCUCCUCAUUCUUUACUGAUAGUAGCAAAAGACACAGCUCUGCCUCAUUUGACAAUGUUUGGUUAAAACCGGAUGAAAACAUUUCUGAUGGUCAGGAAAGCAAAAUGUCCAGGGAUACCUCAACUGGAUUUCAGAAUGGCUUAAACUACAUUGCUCUGAAUUUACGUGAUGAUCCUAUAAGCUGUGAGGCAAGUACUACAGCGCCAACUUGCCAUCUCCAAAAUGGUACUUCAGGUUUGGACAGUGGAGCUUACGUAAGCAUAGAUUUCAGCAGAUCCGAUGGUCUGAAGUGUAACGCUGCGAGAAAAGAGGGAUCUGCCUUUCGCGUAGCAGGUGAGGAAUGCCUGGAAUAGAGGAAGAGCAGGCUCUGAGGGCUGUCUUCCAGGUCUGAAACUUCGGAGAGAAGGCUGCUAGCUUUCAAGUGAUCGCUGGUCUGACCCAACUUAAGACUGACUGCAUUGCCAUGGAAACCAUUGUUGGAAGAGAAGACUUUUCUGCUGGUAACUCCAGAAACUGUGUGGUGCUUUUGGAAGCAAAGCUCAGCUCCAGCCGGCUACUUUCAUUUCCACCAGCACGGACAUAGACACACAUCCUUUUAAUUAAUUUUUUCAUAAACAUCAGCUCUCUACAGUUGAAUUAAUUUGAAUGGAGUUUUUUUUCAUAGCUGUGCUUUGGUGAUGGAAUUUGGUCUUUCAUGUCCUAUCUAUUUGGGAGGCAGUGUGAAUGCUAAUAGGAGAUCCCUGUAUGCCCCUUUCUUCCUCCUGCCUCUCCCUUUUUUUUUUUUUUUUUUUUUAAUUUAUAUUCUGAGAAGUCAAAGCUGGUUUCUGAUUGUCUGUUUAACAUGGGUUUUGCUUCUCUGGUACAUUAACAAGUGGCUAGCUUAAAACAUGUAUUGUUUAGAAAUAUUUUGGCAGUUCAGGAUUUUUUUCGGGUGGCUGGGUGGAAGGAGGGGAGGAGAGGUGCACAUUAGCUUGAGGUGUGAACCCGUGGGACUGAACGGGUCUGAGAAGGAGAGACCUCUUCUGCCUUCUUUUUUUUCUUCUCUUUUUUUUAAGGUUUUGCUUUUAUGGUACAAGAGGUAUUUCUUGAUCAUAGGCUAGAGUAUUUUAAAUCAAAUGUCUGUCAGAGCUUAAACUGAAUUUUUUUUUUUUUUUUUUUUUGCUCAGAAUUUUGGUAUGUACAAAGUAGGAUUAAUGGGCUGGUUGUCUUGUAGAUUGUUUUUGUUCUUACCCUCAAGAUACUUGUUUAUAAAUACGAAUUGUGUAAAAUGAGGUUUUUGUUCAUGCAUUCAAAUGGAGAACUGCAGAGUCGUAUCCAGCGUUUGUGACUUCUGCGUUAUAGUUGUCAGCUGUAGCUUUUUAAAGGGAAACCACCCUAAUUGAUCUUACUUUCAACCAAAGUCCCAUUUUUAAUUUGGGACUAUUUUUGUUCUUUCUUCCUGGCAUAAUGGGGAAAAAAGUAAAAUGUUGGCUCAUCAGUUGUCUUUAUCCCACUUACAGAAAUGUGAACGAUGACUAUUUGACAUUUUUAAAAAAAGCCCUGAUUUUUCUACAAUUUAAGUGCUUCACUCUUGUACUGAAUUUUUUUUUUGGUUGAAAUGAGUUUAGGUUUUUAACACUGCUAUGAACUUAAAGAGCAUGACACUAGUCAUUGGUACAUGCAAUGUAUAAUAAAAGGCACUGACGAUUGAUAAAGGGUUUAGAAGUGGUACACAAAUCCUCAUGCUGUACUGCACCACACAGCUGGUAAUCCUCUACAUUGUAUAUUGUACAACUGAUUUGUCAGGCUGCCUCACCUCUAACAUACAACCUUGAAAUUGCUGGUACAGUUUGUAUAACAAAUUAGACACUGUCAACCUGGAUUGUUCGGUGAUAUGUACCCAAAUCUAUUUUUGAGUAGUAUUAAAACGUACAUGUCACUAAAAUAUGAAGACUUUUUUUUUUUUUUUGGAAACAUGGUACCAAUCAGUUUACGCAGUGUCUAGUGACAGGAAAAACUGUUGCUACAGGGUUUAAAAGCACAGACUUGUUUUUGAUUCUGGAAGAGAAGUUUAAGUUGGUACAGUUACUUCUUGCUGCUAAACAUACACUAAUUAAAAAUACGACCACUCUUACAGACCAUGAUACUGUCUUGCCAUAUAGCUUUUGUUUGGUCUCGUAAAUUAAUAAUGCAAUAUGUAGACAGCUUUUUAUAAAGCUUUACAUCUUUUCUAAGAAAUCAAAAUUUGGAUGAAGAUAGUUCUAAACAUUUAAUGUGAAAGGAAAAGGUUGUUUUGAAGAAAUUUUACACGCUUAUUUCAUAUUAGAUCCCUGAGGCUGCCAUUGUACAAUAUACAGCACUGAUUUAAUAAAUGCUGAAUAAAUAAGUAAAUGGGUAACCUCAAGUGUAGUGGUACAAAUACUAAUAGGUACGGCAUAAUAAAUAUGCAAUCUUUUUGAAUCUCUUAGUUUACAGCAACUAAUUUAUUCAGUAUUGUGCUGGAAGAACAUUUUCAGAUGAUGUAAAACAUAUCACUAUAUAUACUACCUUCCAGCUACCCGUUUAUGCUGCUGUAUAGUACAAAAAUACCAAUGAUAGAACAAUGUUUGUCCUGUAAAUUUAAUUUGAUAUUGGACAGUUAUUGUCUGUACAAACUAAAACAUAUAUGGUUGAAACUGUUCAUUAUAUUUGCUAUUUCUGCUUCACAGAUCUGUUUUAAAGUCGAGCUGAUUGAUCUGGCUUUGUCUUCCAUUGUAAAUAUUGUUAUGUUGUUUUCUUUGUAAAACACAUCGCGUUUGCGGUUUUGGGAGACUGGCUUGAAGCUCUGUAUAGUGUUUAUAUUUAUCUGACUUGGCUUUCCAUAGAGCUACUUGCAGUAAAUACGUGUUCAUGUA